UCCAUCCAUCUAUGUGUUUUGGAUAGAAUAGGGAAGGGCUAACACCCCUGUGGUGUUUGUUUUGCUGUCUGUGCCUCUGUUCAGAAGAUUCCACCUCACUUUCUGUCCCUGUGAUCAUUGGAUUUUGAAAAAUGUGGCUUGUUGUGGAAGCAAGGAUUCAUGAUAUAGCCUCAGUGGAGACACCUUUUCCCCAUGAUAACUCUUUCAGGAGAAAAUUUCCCUUCUGAGGGGUAGAUUUCUGUCACUUCCUGAUGUCUCGCCCUGUUUGUAAGUAUGAGUUUUUUUAUAAGUUGGAUGUUUGUAACUCGAGGACUGCCUGUACUUUAGUCGACUCAUCCUGUUUGAGCAGAAAGCCUUAGAGCAGUGGUUUUCAACCUAAACAUCUGGGGACCCACAGGUUGAGAAGCACUGCCUUAGAGCUCUGAGAGAAUGCUAAAUGGGCCCAAAUUGAGUCUAUCUCGCCUUCCUGGAAGUGAACUCAGAUGCUGGCAGAACACAGAAUGCAGCUGAAACCUCAAUUAACAUCCUUUAAUGAAAUGAUCUUUCUUUCAUUAUGUUUCUUCUUUAAUAAAAAAGAAGCUGAUGCUAAUAUAUCCAAGGAUCAAUACAUACUUAGUAUACCUGUUGUUGUUGUUGUUGUUGUUGUUUGCUUUCAAGUGACAUUUCUGAUUUAUGGCAACCCUUUUAUAGGGUUUUAUUGGCAAGAUUUCUUCGGAGGAAUUUUUGUUUUUGUUUUUUUCUGUUGUCUUCCUUUGUGUCUGAGAGUAUGACUUGCUCAAGAUCACGCAGAGGGUUUCCAUGGCUGAGCAAAAUUUGAACUAACUACACCACUCUGGCUCUCACACUGCUUAUUGUAUUGUAAAUAAUCUCUAAUUCGUGAUGUUUCAUUUCAAGGGAGAAAAGAGAAGGCUCCUCCAAAAUAGCCCUCUUCUUACCAGAAGAGAUAGUUGGAGAAAAAAACAGCUGCCUGGACUAGUGUUGAGGGCAAAGCAAGAAGGUGGUAGAAGAAGAGGAAGCAGAAGAAGAAGAAGAAGAUGAGGAGGAAGAUGAAGAGAAGUUGAACAUUUCUAUUCGAUAAUCUGUCCUUCUGUCUUUGGUUCUGCUAUUUUCAGGAAUUAUCACAGUGAUAAUCCAGUCUUUCUUAACUACUGUAGAGACUCACUUAUUCAAUAUAAACAGGCUGGAUAAUGUUGGAUAAUAAGGAGGGAUUAAGGAAAAGCCUAUUAGAUGUCAAAUUACUUUAUGAUUUUACAAAUUAAGCACCAAAACAUGUUUUAUAACAAAUCAACAGAAAAAGCAUGUAGUAAUGUACUGUAUUAUGUAGUAAUUACUGUAUUUAUGAAUUUAGCACCAAAACAUCGCAAUGUAUUGAAACAGUUGUGGAUCCGGGUGGGAGGCAGACUGCGUUGGAUAAUACAGAACGUUGGAUGAUCAAAGGUUGGCUAAGCGAGACUCUACUAUAUUAUGCCUAGCAGAUUGUGUUUAAAUUUUUAUCACAUUUAAUCUUAAUGUUUUAUAAGAGAUUUCCUUCACCGUUUUUGAACCACUUUUUGAGGUUUAUGUUUCUGCCCAUCCUUUGCACAAAAAUAAAUCCAUUAUAACCUUGCA